GGAUGCUCAACAUCACUAAUAAUUAGAGAAAUGCAAAUCAAAACAACACCGCUCCAUGUGCAUCCCUCCCGAAGCUGCGCACUCGGUUGAAGAGACAACCUUCCCCGAUAGAGGAGGACCAUUCUUCAAUCAAGGGCAUAUGAGUAGCUGUGUUCCCCUGCUAGAACCUCCAAACAAGCUCUCAAGGUCCAUUUGUAGAAGAACGUAGGGUAGUCAAGCUUCCAGACACAUCCAGAUAAGGCACUGCACGUGGCAGUCUGCCGAAA
rnacentral:snRNA from 1 species